rnacentral:RNase_P_RNA from 3 species
GAAGCUGACCAGACAGUCGCCGCUUCGUCGUCGUCCUCCUUCGGGGGGGAGACGGGCGGAGGGGAGGAAAGUCCGGGCUCCAUAGGGCAAGGUGCCAGGUAACGCCUGGGGGGUGUCACAGCCCACGACCAGUGCAACAGAGAGCAAACCGCCGAUGGCCCGCGCAAGCGGGAUCAGGUAAGGGUGAAAGGGUGCGGUAAGAGCGCACCGCGCGGCUGGUAACAGUCCGCGGCACGGUAAACUCCACCCGGAGCAAGGCCAAAUAGGGGUUCAUAAGGUACGGCCCGUACUGAACCCGGGUAGGCUGCUUGAGCCAGUGAGCGAUUGCUGGCCUAGAUGAAUGACUGUCCACGACAGAACCCGGCUUAUCGGUCAGUUUCACCU